CCCCCUCUCGUGGGCAGCACCCCUCCCUCUUUUCUUUCCCUUUUUCUUCCUUCCUUUCUCCUUCUCCCUCACGCACACUCUCCCUCUUCUUCCUUUCUCCUUUCUUUUCCCUUUUCUUUCUCAUCUCCCUCCCUUCUCACUCUCACGCACAUACACACAGUGAGAGACCGAGACUGAGAGAGACAUCGAGAGAGAUCGACGCCGAGAGAGAGAGACGUGUAGACCGAAGAGAAGGAAAAAGAGGAGAAGAGAAGAAGAAGAAAUGGGUUUUUCGGUCAUGGGUCCUUAUGAGGCAUGUGUCAUAAUUGGAGACUUCAACGUGUUCUUCAAUGUAGAGUUCAAGAAACUAGAACAUGGAGGAAUAUUCGAGUCAUGAGUCCUAUGAAGUCAAGACUCUAAUGUUUUGACUGCAGGUUCAAUGGAUCUAAUGAAAGACGUCAUAGCAUAGUACUUGGGAUGUUAUGACUGAAGCCCGACGCGACAGUUAUAAUGGUUGGAUCAUGGGUUGUCCGCCUUUUAGUAGAUUUUGUUUAUGGCUCGUGUCGCAUGUGACAAUUGUAUUUAUGAGCCAAACUUUUAGUACAUAUUUAAUAGCUAUAUAGAAGUCUUAAAUAGAUAGACAUAUUAAUGGCUCUUUGUUGUAUUUAACUGUUGUCUAUAGAUGUACCUUCCGCUAUGUUAAUAAUGUUAUUAUGUGUUAUCCGC